rnacentral:rRNA from 1 species
AUUGAACGCUGGCGGCAUGCUUUACACAUGCAAGUCGAACGGUAACAGCACUUCGGUGGCUGACGAGUGGCGAACGGGUGAGUAAUACAUCGGAACGUGCCUAGUAGUGGGGGAUAACUACUCGAAAGAGUAGCUAAUACCGCAUGAGAUCUAAGGAUGAAAGCAGGGGACCUUCGGGCCUUGCGCUACUAGAGCGGCUGAUGGCAGAUUAGGUAGUUGGUGGGAUAAAAGCUUACCAAGCCGACGAUCUGUAGCUGGUCUGAGAGGACGACCAGCCACACUGGGACUGAGACACGGCCCAGACUCCUACGGGAGGCAGCAGUGGGGAAUUUUGGACAAUGGGCGCAAGCCUGAUCCAGCAAUGCCGCGUGCAGGAUGAAGGCCUUCGGGUUGUAAACUGCUUUUGUACGGAACGAAAAGCCCUCUUCUAAUACAGGAGGGUCAUGAUGGUACCGUAAGAAUAAGCACCGGCUAACUACGUG